rnacentral:rRNA from 1 species
GACGAACGCUGGCGGCGUGCCUAAUACAUGCAAGUAGAACGCUGAAGGAGGAGCUUGCUUCUCUGGAUGAGUUGCGAACGGGUGAGUAACGCGUAGGUAACCUGCCUGGUAGCGGGGGAUAACUAUUGGAAACGAUAGCUAAUACCGCAUAAGAGUGGAUGUUGCAUGACAUUUGCUUAAAAGGUGCACUUGCAUCACUACCAGAUGGACCUGCGUUGUAUUAGCUAGUUGGUGGGGUAACGGCUCACCAAGGCGACGAUACAUAGCCGACCUGAGAGGGUGAUCGGCCACACUGGGACUGAGACACGGCCCAGACUCCUACGGGAGGCAGCAGUAGGGAAUCUUCGGCAAUGGACGGAAGUCUGACCGAGCAACGCCGCGUGAGUGAAGAAGGUUUUCGGAUCGUAAAGCUCUGUUGUAAGAGAAGAACGAGUGUGAGAGUGGAGAGUUCACACUGUGACGGUAUCUUACCAGAAAGGGACGGCUAACUACGUGCCAGCAGCCGCGGUAAUACGUAGGUCCCGAGCGUUGUCCGGAUUUAUUGGGCGUAAAGCGAGCGCAGGCGGUUAGAUAAGUCUGAAGUUAAAGGCUGUGGCUUAACCAUAGUAGGCUUUGGAAACUGUUUAACUUGAGUGCAAGAGGGGAGAGUGGAAUUCCAUGUGUAGCGGUGAAAUGCGUAGAUAUAUGGAGGAACACCGGUGGCGAAAGCGGCUCUCUGGCUUGUAACUGACGCUGAGGCUCGAAAGCGUGGGGAGCAAACAGG